AUUGAACGCUGGCGGCAGGUCCAACAUAUGCAAGUCGAGCGGAGCGGCGGACGGGUGAGUAAUGCCUAGGAAUCUGCCUGGCAGCGGGGGAUAACGUCCGGAAACGGGCGCUAAUACAGCACACUAACAGAUGAGCUUAGGUCGGAUUAGCCAGUUGGUGGGGUAAAGGCCUACCAAGUCGACGAUCCGUAACUGGUCUGAGAGGAUGAUCAGUCACACUGGAACUGAUACACGGUCCAGACUCCUACGGGAGGCAGCAGUGGGAAAUAUUGGACGAUGGGCGAAAGCCUAAUCCAGCCAUGCCGCGUAUGUGAAGAAGGUCUUCGAAUUGUAAAGCACUUUAAGUUGGGAAGCAUUACCAACAGAAUAUGCACCGGCUAACUUCGUGCCAGCAUCCGCGGUAAUUC
rnacentral:rRNA from 1 species